CACAACAAACCCAUAUUCUGGUUGUAUGAUUCAUGGGCUUUGUUGCUCAUGUUUCUUCCAGAGGAUGUAGGAUGCAAUUAACCAACAGGAAAGAAAAUAAGAAGCAAGUAAGAAGAAAAUCAAGAAAGCUUCAAAAGCAUCUGCAAAAGAAAGUUUUCGAUCACUAACAAUCUGAAGCGUUUAUGUUGAGCAACCUGAAGACCGCUACAAAGAAUAUCCAGUCAGAUAGUCUCAUCGGAGAAGGCGGGUUUGGCUGGGUGUAUAAAAGGCGGACUGGAUCGGUACGGUAUCGUACAGUUUCCAAUCUGGAUUGAAGUGAAGGAAGACGGAUGUAUGAUGACGUGUGUGUUGACGUUUGAGUGCAGAGAAUGAAAAAAGGAAUGGAGGUGGCGGUUGUGGUGGAGGUUGUUGAUGGUUGUGGGUGGUAGGUUGAGGAUGAAGAUGCUUUGUUGGUGGCGAUGGUAAGUGAAGGUUGAAGAUAACCAGAUUGUAGCUCCAACGUACAGUGAGAAU
rnacentral:lncRNA from 1 species